UAUGGUUAAAACUGCUAUUGCGAUCAUAUUACGAUUCGAUUUCUAUUCAAUUUUGACAUUAUUAACUUAGGAGAAUCGGGCCCCAGUCACGGCACUUUCAAGACUUUAAUACCUAAUAGUAAACAAGUCUAAAUAUAAAACUAAGGACUAAAUCUGAGACUAACCAUUUGACAAACAAUUAUUUGAUCCCAACAACUCGCGCGAUCGGGCAAAACGUAACAAUAAUUUGCUGCUCAAGGUAAUUUUAAGAAACAUUUGAGUAAACUUUAAUUGUCAUGUCAGUACUUCCCCCGUCGUACGUCACAAUCCUGGCAAGUCUGGAAGGCGGUUGAAUCUGACUUGUGUUAACAUCCUAUAUACCCAACUAACACGAGUACGCUUCUAACGUCUGUGUGACUUGCAAGUUCAGUUACAAAUAUGUAUUGUAAUCAAUCAGAGGACAUUUCCAGUGUAGUGUUAUUUUAUAGUAAAUCGGUGUCUGUUUAAUACAUUUCAUUAAUCAUAGGUGCAUAAAAUGAGCCGCAGGUUUACCCGGCCUGUUUAGAUUCGUGGUUUUCUAUUUACCUACACUGUAAUAGAUGUUAAACUAAGAUAUUACGCUGGUGUCAUUGGUAUAUUAUGUAGUAUGAAUCAAUUACCAUCGCAUUACAUGAAUUGUAACCACAUUCCUUGAUAAUUAUACAGUUAAGUAGUAAACAGUUUACAGGUUACGCUUCCUUGAUGUUUAACACUAUUUUGAAUGUCGUGAUUUGCAUUUAGAAUUUAAUUAUAGUUUCACUUUGGAUCACGUUUUAUCAUUAGUAACAUAACAAUGCCAUUAGAUAUAAAAAUACGACUGAAUGUUUCUUUAUUUAGAAUUGUGUAGGUAUAUUUUAGCAAAAACUAACGAGUGAUUUGAUCAUUUUUAAAUAGGCAUUUUUGCUUAUUGACACUUCUGUUAAAUUAUUUAGUCUAUGUAACUAUUUAUAAAGUAUGUCAGAUAUGCUAGUUAUGUAUAGUUUCGAAUUCUGCGCUUAUUUCGAUUUAGUCAUUAGUUAGCUAGGUAUUAAGUAUAUUGCUUAUUGAUUUUAUCAAUGAAAUAUUAGCAUUUAUGACAUGGUCAUUCAAAUAAAUAAAUGUAAUAAAAUUUGCA